GCCACGGUGGUCUAGCGGUAAAACGCUGGCCUUGUAAUCCUGGGGUCUCGGGUUCGAUUCCCGGCGGUGCCC
rfam:Zootermopsis nevadensis contig26226, whole genome shotgun sequence.